AAUCCAUAGGUUAAUGAGGCGAACCGGGGGAACUGAAACAUCUAAGUACCCCGAGGAAAAGAAAUCAACCGAGAUUCCCCCAGUAGCGGCGAGCGAACGGGGAGGAGCCCAGAGCCUGAAUCAGCAUGUGUGUUAGUGGAAGCGUCUGGAAAGGCGCGCGAUACAGGGUGACAGCCCCGUACACAAAAGCGCAUGUGCUGUGAGCUCGAUGAGUAGGGCGGGACACGUGGUAUCCUGUCUGAAUAUGGGGGGACCAUCCUCCAAGGCUAAAUACUCCUGACUGACCGAUAGUGAACCAGUACCGUGAGGGAAAGGCGAAAAGAACCCCGGCGAGGGGAGUGAAAAAGAACCUGAAACCGUGUACGUACAAGCAGUGGGAGCACAGGUUUACCUGUGUGACUGCGUACCUUUUGUAUAAUGGGUCAGCGACUUAUAUUCUGUAGCAAGGUUAACCGCAUAGGGGAGCCGGAGGGAAACCGAGUCUUAAUUGGGCGUUAAGUUGCAGGGUAUAGACCCGAAACCCGGUGAUCUAGCCAUGGGCAGGUUGAAGGUUGGGUAACACUAACUGGAGGACCGAACCGACUAAUGUUGAAAAAUUAGCGGAUGACCUGUGGCUGGGGGUGAAAGGCCAAUCAAACCGGGAGAUAGCUGGUUCUCCCCGAAAGCUAUUUAGGUAGCGCCUCGUGAAUUCAUCUCCGGGGGUAGAGCACUGUUUCGGCUAGGGGGCCAUCCCGGCUUACCAACCCGAUGCAAACUGCGAAUACCGGAGAAUGUUAUCACGGGAGACACACGGCGGGUGCUAACGUCCGUCGUGAAGAGGGAAACAACCCAGACCGCCAGCUAAGGUCCCAAAGUCAUGGUUAAGUGGGAAACGAUGUGGGAAGGCCCAGACAGCCAGGAUGUUGGCUUAGAAGCAGCCAUCAUUUAAAGAAAGCGUAAUAGCUCACUGGUCGAGUCGGCCUGCGCGGAAGAUGUAACGGGGCUAAACCAUGCACCGAAGCUGCGGCAGCGAACGUAUCACUUAAAGCGAUUCAGCGGGUUACGAUUGACGGAGCGAAGCGACGUCAAAGCGUAUACAAAGUCGAGUCGGUUUAAGGAUACGUUCGUUGGGUAGGGGAGCGUUCUGUAAGCCUGCGAAGGUGGCCUGUGAGGGUUGCUGGAGGUAUCAGAAGUGCGAAUGCUGACAUAAGUAACGAUAAAGCGGGUGAAAAGCCCGCUCGCCGGAAGACCAAGGGUUCCUGUCCAACGUUAAUCGGGGCAGGGUGAGUCGACCCCUAAGGCGAGGCCGAAAGGCGUAGUCGAUGGGAAACGGGUUAAUAUUCCCGUACUUGGUGUUACUGCGAAGGGGGGACGGAGAAGGCUAUGUUGGCCGGGCGACGGUUGUCCCGGUUUAAGCGUGUAGGUGUGUGUUCCAGGUAAAUCCGGUUCACUUUAACACUGAGGCGUGAUGACGAGGCACUACGGUGCUGAAGCAACAAAUGCCCUGCUUCCAGGAAAAGCCUCUAAGCAUCAGGUAACAUCAAAUCGUACCCCAAACCGACACAGGUGGUCAGGUAGAGAAUACCAAGGCGCUUGAGAGAACUCGGGUGAAGGAACUAGGCAAAAUGGUGCCGUAACUUCGGGAGAAGGCACGCUGACACGUAGGUGAAGUGAUUUACUCAUGGAGCUGAAGUCAGUCGAAGAUACCAGCUGGCUGCAACUGUUUAUUAAAAACACAGCACUGUGCAAACACGAAAGUGGACGUAUACGGUGUGACGCCUGCCCGGUGCCGGAAGGUUAAUUGAUGGGGUCAGCGCAAGCGAAGCUCCUGAUCGAAGCCCCGGUAAACGGCGGCCGUAACUAUAACGGUCCUAAGGUAGCGAAAUUCCUUGUCGGGUAAGUUCCGACCUGCACGAAUGGCGUAAUGAUGGCCAGGCUGUCUCCACCCGAGACUCAGUGAAAUUGAACUCGCUGUGAAGAUGCAGUGUACCCGCGGCAAGACGGAAAGACCCCGUGAACCUUUACUAUAGCUUGACACUGAACAUUGAGCCUUGAUGUGUAGGAUAGGUGGGAGGCUUUGAAGUGUGGACGCCAGUCUGCAUGGAGCCGACCUUGAAAUACCACCCUUUAAUGUUUGAUGUUCUAACGUGGACCCGUAAUCCGGGUUGCGGACAGUGUCUGGUGGGUAGUUUGACUGGGGCGGUCUCCUCCUAAAGAGUAACGGAGGAGCACGAAGGUUGGCUAAUCCUGGUCGGACAUCAGGAGGUUAGUGCAAUGGCAUAAGCCAGCUUGACUGCGAGCGUGACGGCGCGAGCAGGUGCGAAAGCAGGUCAUAGUGAUCCGGUGGUUCUGAAUGGAAGGGCCAUCGCUCAACGGAUAAAAGGUACUCCGGGGAUAACAGGCUGAUACCGCCCAAGAGUUCAUAUCGACGGCGGUGUUUGGCACCUCGAUGUCGGCUCAUCACAUCCUGGGGCUGAAGUAGGUCCCAAGGGUAUGGCUGUUCGCCAUUUAAAGUGGUACGCGAGCUGGGUUUAGAACGUCGUGAGACAGUUCGGUCCCUAUCUGCCGUGGGCGCUGGAGAACUGAGGGGGGCUGCUCCUAGUACGAGAGGACCGGAGUGGACGCAUCACUGGUGUUCGGGUUGUCAUGCCAAUGGCACUGCCCGGUAGCUAAAUGCGGAAGAGAUAAGUGCUGAAAGCAUCUAAGCACGAAACUUGCCCCGA
rnacentral:rRNA from 1 species